rnacentral:lncRNA from 1 species
CAAGUUAUCACAAUGCUCCGGUGGUCAACGGAAUUUUACAUAGUCAACACCUUGAUCCUCUUGUUUGAAGAUCUUAUUGCCUCCAUUGAGUUUAAUUAUAUCUAACAAUAUUUUGCACACAAAAUGAAUCUGAAAGAUAUAAUUUGAAACAUUGAUAUCAUCUGAAAAAAUUCUAAAAAAUAUAUCCUCUAGAAAGUGUAUAAUAGUCUAAGUAUAAUAAUAUUAUGGACACAAGAUGAAUCUGAAAGAUAUCAUCUGGGACAUGGUAUAGAAUCUAGUAUAUCAUCAUCUGAGUGCGUGUCGUGAAAACGUUUCUUUGUUAUCUUCUGGUAAAAACUUUGAAAUGUAUCCUCUAAUCAAGAGUUACUCAAGUUAUCACAAUGCUCUUGUGGUCAACAAAAUUUUACAUAGUCAACACCUUGAUCCUCUUGUUUGAAGAUCUUAUUACCUCCGUUGAGUUUAUCAUUUGGUGAUCAAUUAGUGAAUAUUUAAAAGUUAUUUUUUUGAGGAAUAAAUUUGAUGAUUUCAUUAUCAACGAAAUAAAUUGAAAUUUGAGAGACAACUAGUAAUAGUACAUAAGGUACAAAAUAUAAGGUGUGUGUGACACAAUAGUACAAGUAGUACGCGACAAUUCCUAAUGUGAGUAUAAAGUUAUGAAAUUAUUUUCCUAUAUAGUAUAAUAGACUACAACAAAUCUUAUUCAAAUGUUCAGCUCAAGAAAUUCUCAAAUCAAGAAAACCCUAUAUAUUCUCAAGUUUUCUCAAAAUUAUUUUCAAUACUCUACAAUAUUGAACAACAUUAUUUUUAAGAAUGAAGACAAAGGAAGAGAUUUCAUAUUCAAACAUAGAGAGAAAAAAUUCUACAUUGCUGAAGAAGAAAGAAACUAUUCAAAGCAUCAACUUAUUUUAUUAUAAAAACACUUUUUUUUUUGAAAGAUUAAAAACUUUUAUUUUUUAUUUAAAUUUGUUUACUUUUCCUGUUGAGUGAUAUUUAUUACUUCCUCUAUUGAGUGAUAUAUAUAUACAUAAACAAUUAUCAGUUAUUUUAUUGUAUUUUCUCAAUGGGCUAAAUUGUAGAAAGAUUCUUUGAAAAUACAGAGAGACUAAAUUGUAGUAAGCUCUUUGUGGUUGAGAAAUUUAAAAUAUAAGUCAACUGGACUAGAAUAUACCUUGGUAAAAUAGUAAUAAGUUAUAGUAUAGUGAAAGUAUCUCAUUUGUGAAAGUGUUGGAGCAAAAUUGGUUGAUAGCAUAUCCCUUGGGUUUUGAUGAUAACAAAGUAUUUAAAGAACAAUUGGGUAUUCUAACAUUUGUUCAAGUAUACAUGAUUAUAAAACUAAUAACAGAUGAAGAGAAGAUUGAUUGUUCUGCAUCUGAAGUUCAGACUCUGAUUCGGAAGAUCACUUUGAAGACCCUGGCUCUGAUGGAAGAUCCAGACUCUGAAGAAGUCAACUCUGAAGAAAGUCAACCUUUGGUGAUCCAAACUCUGUAGCUUCAGAAGUCAUGAAGCAGACUAUGAAGAAUCAAGUCUGAAAGAAGUCAACCUCUGAAAGUUGUAUCUCUUCAAUCGAGGCAACUCUGACAGACUCAGAGACCUUUUGAUCACAUGAAGACUUAAGGAAAAAUAUAUUCAUUGUUGUCUAAGCGUCAACAAUUAAUUCCUUUGCAGAAAGUUAUUUUAUUGAUGUGUCUAAUCAAGUACAAAGGUUAUCCAACCUUUUGGUGAAAGUCUUCAACGUCUCUUUUCUUUCUCUCUAUAUAAGGAGUAGAAUACCUGAAGAAGAAACACACAACUACACACUGCAUAACAAGACUCUGAACCUUGACAUUUCAAAGAGAAGUUACUCUAUAAAAAACAAGUUAGACUUAGAGCAUCUUAACACUUUGUAUAUUUUAGAAGUUCGUAAAUCUUAAAGUCUUUCUGAAUUAUGAGAUUUUGCACAUGCUGGUCUCAAACUAAGCUAGAGUUUUGAAUUGGCAAUCCUCCUAACCGAAUCAAUGUCUUAUGCAAGUUGACGAAGAACCAACCUGAGAUUUUUACUGGACUCAUUUGGAAAUCAUUGAGCUUUUAUUCAGACUAAACUUAAAAAUUGAGUGAGAUUUUAGACCAGACUAAUAUUGAACGGACUGAGCUUUUAACCAGGCUGAGUUCAAGAACUGAUGAGAAGAUUUUUCACUAGUUAUCAAGGCUAAGCAUAUCUUGCUUAUCUAUGAGUUUUGAUCACUUCUUGAUUAUACCUACAAGCACAUGGUUCCACACGACAUUCUAGAGCAGACCUACGACUAGGAUUACAAUUAUUAAAGGUAAGGGAAACAAUACCAUAAACCUUUGAGCGAACCAAAUGAAUGCGAGGAAAGAAAUACAAUCCAUUAUUAUCAAGGAAUCCUUCAAGGACAACAUGGUUAGAAACUUAAGAUUUCACAAAGCAUUUAUUAGCAAGAACUUCAAAACUGACACGAUUGUCUUUGACAAAUUUUGAAACAGAUAAUAUAUUUCUAGUUAUGGCAGGUACAUCAAGAAUUUUUUUAAGAACUAGCUUAGUGUUAGGCGAGGACUGAGGAACAAACCACGAUAAACCAAUAAACUUACUUUGACAAUUAUCUAUUUGAACUCUAUCAUUAGCUAAGUAUGCAGACUUAUGUUGUAUGAUGGAAUCAAAACAUGCAAUGGGAUGAGAGCACCUAAGUCAACAAACCGUACUUAGGACUCCAAUUCUCCUAGCAUGGAUUACUCAUCAGUGUAUGCUAGUUGAUAUGUUGUAACCAUCAUUGCAAUUGGAGUGUUGGAGUUAUUCAGUAUAGCAGACACCUCACCCUUGGUUUAGUUAUCAUUCAUAUGCGCGUUUUCACAAACACUUUGAGUGAUUGCUACAGGGACAAAGUAUUCAUCAUACUUGUGCCAGCACUUGAGCAUAACAUGUCCAUAUUUGCCACAAAGUUGUCAUGUUGGCUUGAUUCCUAAACUCCCUCCUCUAGAGUGACCAUGACCUCUAAAUUGUAUGUUUUGUCCAUGUCCACGCAUGCAAUAAGUUCCACGAUCAGGAGACCAAAAGUUAUUGCAUGAACUUAUCAAGUUAAGCUUCCAGAACAUAAAGUAACACUUCAACAUCAUAGAUUUUAGAAGGUUCACGACGACCAUACACUUGCAUCAAGAACAAAUUGUACUCUUUAGGAAGUCCAUAUUUUUCAUUAUUAUUAAUUAUGACCUCAAAAUAAAAAUAAAAAACUCAUUAGUAUUUUUUUUUUCAAAAUAAAUGUAUCUUUACGUUUAUAACAUUUAUUAUCAAUUUUCAUUACUAUGCAUUUUUUUAAAUUAAUUUUUAUUCUAUUUAAUUAUUCUACUAACAAAAGUCUCUUCUAAUUUAUAGUUCAAUUCAGCCUUAGACACACUAGUGUUAAAUCUUCAUUGAUUAUAAUUAAUAAAAAUAUCUUUAUAAUAAUACUAAAUUAUUAAAAUGAAAAUAUUUUUUUUUAAAUCACGCAUAAUCAAAUAAAAUGUUUAUUAAGAGAAGGAAGUAAGUAACAAAUUUAAUUUUCAAGUCACUUGAUUCAUACUUCAAAUUCAACAAAAGAAUUAUCAAAUCAAAUAUUGAACUAUGGUUAGAUUUAUUUUUACCCCUCCUUGAUUAACGGUGAAUCUACAUUGUAUCAAAAUUCAUUUUCCCACCUUUUUUAUUACACGCUCCUCGUGAUGCUCGUGUGACAGCGACUAUUAGUUGUUUUUUAUUCUUUUUCUAAUUGGUUAAAAUUCUUUAUCUUUCUAUGUUUUUUUCUUUCUUUUACAAGAAGUAGUCCCGCAUCAUCUACCCCCACUCAUUUCUAAAGCAAUAAGCAACUAACUUAGCAUCAUUCAAGUCAACCACUUUAUUAUCUUUUUUAUCAAUACAUCUUAUCAUAGUUGUCCCUUUUUAAAUAUUUUGUAUGGUUCUAAUUAUUUGGUUAUUUAAAAUAACAACACAAUAUUUUUUAAUAUAAUUUAAUUAUGUGUUAUCUCUAUUUUUUACUAUGUCAUUUUGAAGAAAAUUAAUAUAGGUUCAAUUAUAAAUCAUUUUAUCAUAUCAAUAAAUUAUUAAUGAUAUUUUUUCUAUUAUAUUUUUAUAUAUUUAUUAUUUUAUAUUUUAUAAUUAUUAAUAACAAGUAAUUUUGUAAAAUAUAUAAAAAUAGUAUUAGAAAAACACAAUAAAAGUGGAUAGUAUGUAAAAAAAAGGAGGUGUUUUAUUUAUUAUACAAUUUUCAAAUAACUAUUUAUCAUUUAUUAAUAUUAAUGGCUCAAUUAAUAUAUAGUAAUUGAAUUAAAUCAAUAUAAACUAUUAAUUUAUAGUUAUAUGGAUAUAUAUAUAUAUAUAUAUAUAUAUAUUAUAUAUAUAUAUAUAUUAUACUAUUAUAUAUAUUAUAUAUAUAUAUAUAUAAUUAAAAAAAACUACUACUACUAACAUUCUUUCCGAUCUAUUUAAAUAAAUUGCCAAAUUAAUUGUGAUAUUAAUUUUACUGAUAAAUUUAUAAAUUUAAGAUAUAAUGUAAGAGUAUAUAUUACUGAUUAUAGAAAUUAUGUAACAUAAUUAAAUAAUUUCUUUAAUUUAUAAAUAUAACAACUUAAUAUACUACAUUAUUAAAAAAAAAUCUAAAAAGCACAUAGAUUACAUUAAUUGAGUUCAACUAACACAACUACUCAAAAUUUGAUAAAGAAUAAUUAAUAUAUUUUAAAUUUUAAAUAGUCUUAUAAAAAGAGACAAAAUAAAUAAAUAAAGAGUGAACUAUAGAUGUUUGUUUGUUUCAGCUUUAAGAAUCUACCUUUUCUAGUUUUGUUUUCAAAAAUAAUUUUUAUAAAACUUUCUUAAAAUAGUAAGUAAUUUUAAAUUUAUUUUUUAUAAAUUUAAAAACUAAUUUUGACAUAUCAUAACAUAAAUAUUAAAAUAUAAUCAAAAUUAUAUAAUUUUUCAAAUGAUAUAUCUCAAAACUGUUUUUUUUUUAAAAAGUAACUCAAAAUAGUUUCAAAUUUGAGUUAUUAUUUCAAAUUUUCACGCUCUAUAAAAUGAUAAAAUAUUUAAAAUAAUAUUUUAUAAAAUACUAUUUAAAUAAUUUUUUAUUUAAAAUUUAAAAAAAAAUCUAAUUUUUUUAAAAUAAAAAAUAUAACUGUAUAAAAAUCAUUUUUUAAAAAGAUGAAAUAAACGGGCCAAAAAACAAAUGAUGUAUUAACAAAAAAAUUAAUAAAUAAAUAUCAUUUAAUCAUUGAACCAAUAAUUAUUUUAAGAACUGUUCAAAACUCAGAAAAUGAGACUAUGUGAUAUCAUCUCAGGUUAUAAAUACAGCAACAUCAACCACAAAAUUUGCAAGCAGCAGCAUCCCAAAAAGAAUUCAAGCAGCAAGAUGGCCACUUUUGAUAAAAACUUACUUCUAAAUUAUGUUCCAGUUUAUGUAAUGCUCCCAGUAAGUCAUCAUACACAUAAACCAGUGUGUUUCUAAGCUACCAAAUUCAAGCACUUUUAACAUAAAACAUUAAUAAAUAAAUAACUAGCUCAUAAAUACAUGUGCUUGUGUGUCUGUGUUUUUUUGUUGACUAAUAUUUAACAUGUUUUCUUUAAUUUUUCUCUGUAACAAUUUUUUUAGCUCGGAGUUGUUAGUGUUGAUAAUGUCUUGGAAGAUCCGGAGGGUAUUAAAGAAAAGCUGGUGAAGCUACGAGCAGCGGGCGUGGAUGGUGUUAUGGUUGAUGUCUGGUGGGGAAUCAUUGAAAAAAAUGGACCUAAGCAGUAUGAUUGGAGUGCUUACAGAAGCUUGUUUCAGCUCGUUCAAGAAAGUGGUCUGAAACUGCAAGCAAUCAUGUCAUUUCAUCAAUGUGGAGGGAAUGUAGGGGAUGUUGUAACCAUCCCAAUUCCACAAUGGGUACUUGACAUUGGACAAUCAGAUCCUGAUAUUUUCUACACCAACCGUUCCGGUACUAGGGACAAUGAGUAUCUGACUAAUGGUGUAGAUAACAAGCCUAUCUUUCAUGGAAGAACAGCCAUUGAGGUUGGUUCAACAUUGAAAUUAUAAUUAACUAUUUUUUAACUAACAACACUACUGUCAUAUGAUCUGCAAAUGCAGCUAUGUGACUCAUCUGGGCUGAUCUCGGCUGUCAGAUCUAAAUCAGUGGUUGAGAUCAGUUAAAAUUGGUUUAAUGAAUAUGUAAUUUGAGCUACUGGAUCUAAAGUCAAUGGCUUAGAUUUAAAACUGUGAAAAAAAUUGCUGCAGCUGAUUGGUUACUAUAGCGCGAUUAAAUAUAGUUCUUUCUUUACAUAGGUAUAUAGUGAUUACAUGAAGAGUUUCAGAGAAAACAUGUCAGAUUUUUUAAAAUCAGAGGUUAUUAUAGACAUUGAAGUUGGCCUUGGUCCAGCAGGAGAACUCAGAUACCCAUCCUAUCCUCAAAAUCAAGGAUGGGUAUUUCCUGGAAUCGGAGAAUUUCAGGUGAUUAUGACCUUGUUUUCAAACAAAAUUGUUUCUGGAAUUUCAAUUCAGCGCUAAAAUUCUAAUUAAAAAAAAUGAAACUAUGCAGUGUUAUGACAAAUAUUUGAAGGAAGAUUUCAAAUCGGCUGCAGCGAGUGCUGGCCAUUCUGAAUGGGAACUACCAGAUGACGCUGGCACGUACAAUGAUGUACCAGAAUCUACUGAAUUCUUCAAAACAAAUGGCACAUACCUCACUGAGAAAGGGAAAUUCUUCUUAACUUGGUACUCUAACCGAUUGCUGAAUCAUGGUGAUCAAAUCCUAGAUGAAGCUAACAAAGCUUUCUUGGGCUGUAAAGUCAAAUUAGCAAUCAAAGUAAAUUUCAUAAAACAACAAUUAAUUAAAGACAGUAGUUAGUUACCUUUGCUUUUUCCUGAUUAAUUAACCUAUAACUAUGAUAAAGGUUUCUGGAAUCCACUGGUGGUACAGAGCUCCGAAUCAUGCUGCUGAACUCACUGCUGGAUAUUACAACCUU